ensembl:lncRNA LINC01674 long intergenic non-protein coding RNA 1674
AGACUCGUGUGUGGCUGCUUGCGCAGCUGCUCCGUGCCAGGCUUGGAGGACCAGGAGAAGGGGUAGUCACUUGCCACAGCUGGAGGCUGGAGCGUGUGGCACCACGGCUCGCCUCGCUGUGGUGGGCGCUGGCGGCAGAGACGGCAGCUCGGCUGGACUGUUAAACAUUAUGUAAACGAAAGUACAGAACCCUGGCAAAAUUGAAAGGCCCCAAUAUUAUUGGAACUCUUUUAUGAUUCAGCUUUUCAUGGAGUUCUACUUUAUCAUGAAAUCUAGCACACUGGUUCCUUUCAAUUAAUCCCUGAAGGUUAAUAUUUUUGGACCACAGUUGACCUGAGGUAACUGAAACUGCUGAAAACAAAACCAUGGAUAAGGGAGAACUCUUGUAUUAUCACAGAUUAUAUCAAAACUAUGGCUCUAGGCUUUUUAGAAGAGUUUAACAAGUGGAGCUUGAAGCUCUGUUUUUACCCUUUCUCCGGGCUGUUAUUGUCAUACAAAUUACAUCUUUAUACAUGUUGUGCUGAACAACAAGUGGAUUUGUAGGUGUUUCUUUGUGAAGUUAUCUUCUAAAUCAGACUCAUCUUCCUUCUUUGAUGACAAGGGCUCUAAAGUGAGUCACCUAAACUGCAGUCUGAGGAGGAGUCAAGGGUACUGCAAAUGUGAGAGCCAGAUUCAGAUACUGGCAUGUGGAACAAGUUGAAGAAUGGCUAAUCUGACGUUCUGUAUUUAUCCAGAAAUUUUAACUAGGCUCCAUGAGUAAGGCUUUGAGGGCACAGUUCAGGGCUUAGCUGAUUCCCCCCAAAUGAGCUCUACUACCAGAAAUUCCCUGGUAGAGAUUAUUUAUUCUCCAGCUUUAGGGCUUUUAUUAGAUGAAAUGUCUUACUUCAUGCUUUAAUUUUAUGGUUCUAUUUUUAACAAUUUCCUGAACAGUACAUUCUACCAUGUCUCAAAAUAAACAAUUUGUUAUAUUUUUAUAAA